rnacentral:sRNA from 1 species
UGACUGACGUCUGUGCUGUCUGAGGCCCGUUGUGAAUUUCUUGUAUUCAGUUCCGGACGUUAAACGCGACUGUGCGGUUGUUAUCGAAUAAUUUGAAAAUUUUACCAAUUUUGUUUUUCUUUGAAUCAAACAGAAAAAAAGAGUUAAGUUUUUUUUUGUGUUGUUUAGAGAAGAAAAAAGAAGUUGCAGAAAAAAAGUAAAUAAAAGAAACCCCCCACACUAAAAAUCAGAAGCAAAAAGCAACCAACAUCUAUCUAUCUGUAUGCAAGUCUGCCUACCUACAUGAAAUAUCGAUAAAGGCUGUUUACAACUUGUUUUCCACCCAUUUAACUUAGUUUUUGUGAGUGACUAAAACAAAAGCAUUUGCAAAGAAAAUAUCAAAAUAAAUAAAGUGGCAAAAAUUCAUGAUUUCGCUGGAAGUUGCAAUUACCCCUUAUUAGGGCCAGCAAUCAAACAACGACAACAAAAAGUGUUUAUUGAAGAUAAAUUGCAAAAAGAAAGAAAUUAACAACAAAAAAGUUGAAGAGCGCUGGCAAAGUGUGAGUUUAUGCAAAUUUAAAAUUCACAACAAAUUAAAUAUUUAAAAAAAAACAAACAAGUUUUGUGCAUAUUGAAUUAUUCUAUAGUGAUUUUGAUUUUAAAGAAAUUUAAGAUAUUUAUUAACAAUAGUUGUGUACUUGUUUGUUUUCUGUCUGAAAAGUCUUUAAACAAGAGAAAGAGCAAAAUAGUAUAAAAUCAUUUGGAGAUUAAAACAGCAAAAACCUUUGAACGAACAAACCUCUGAUCUGCGCCAACUUUAAAUGCACAGAACCUAAACAUACGUACACUCACACGUACAUGCAAACUUUUUGGUUUCUGAUACAUACACCUUGAAGGUAUACACACACAGAUGCCGCCACCGCCAUACGGCAACAAGAUUUGAGAUAUUCCUUCAAAUCACCACACACAGACUCCAUGCAUAGAACUCAGAGCAGUUUCGGUAUCUAAAGAGCAAUAACCAAAUACCAAACCGCCCCUCCAACUCCCCCACGUUACGAGGUGAAACAGUAGUGAGAGCCCUCAACGCAACAACGACGACGACGGUCGACAGCAGCAGCAGCAACAGCAAAAAGGAGUGUUGGGAGAGCUGCCAGAGGAUUGUCACAAAACCAGAAUAACAACAACAACAACACAAACAAUAACAGCAGCAACAGCAAGAAACAUAUUCACCGCCUCAUAACAUUCAUUUGAGAAACUCACCAAACAGCAUCCUUUGUGUGUGAAGUUGGUACAACGACAACAACAACAACAAUUAUAUUUGUGGUGGUUGUUAGUUAAGCUGAAGUUGCAAAAAACACCACAUUCAAAUACAACAACAAUAUCAUAAAAAAACUUGUCAGUGUUGGAAAACUUGAAAAUACCUACCUUUGGGAUUUACCUGCAAUUGACCAUAGAGAAGAAAUACGAAAAAAGGAAGAAAUAUAAACGACCAAAGGCAAAAUCAAUCUAAAUCAAAAGAUUCAACGCAAUUCUCACAAUAAAAACAAUAAAAAAACAACCAACAAAGCAGCGAUAAUCAAUUUAAAAAGAAUUUAUAAUAGAGAGUAUGAGAGCGGGUAGUAAUUAUUUAUGGGGCGUUUUGUGGUCAUAACCAACAGCAAUUACUUACCUUUGCUAAAAGCCAUUACUUGGAGGGUCCCCAUACAGAGCAAAGUUUUUCAACAAGGUUUUUUUCAUUUAACCCCCAAACGCAGGUACAAAGCUUACAGCUACCUAUAAUUAGUUAAUGGUCUGGUUUUUGCAUACAAAAAUUUCCAUAUGCUAUCUGUGUUAGUCAUUUCAAAACAAACCUCCAAAGGGCCAUGUGCUUGGGCAUAUUUAGAAAUGCGGUCAAUUUAUUUCAAUAACCUUAUUGAAUGGAAAUUGCCAAAUUAUAAAAGCUUUGCAAACAUCUAUACCUGAAUAAUGUUCGCUUUAUUUCAAUUACAAGAAAGUGAAUUUGCAAUUUUGUUGUACAAGUUGUAGCCAAUGGCUAUUAACCCAAAUGCUAAGAGAUCUUAAAUUUGGAAGUAUCUAUUAAAAGUGACCAUAAGAAAACACAAAUAAACAUUUGAUUUUUCAAUAGAAAGAUAAAUAUUUAUAAAAUACAUUAGAUAGAUUAAAAAGAAACAAAUUUGCAGAUUAUGGUUUAUUAGAUGGAAAGGUUCUUAAGAAAAAAAAUAAUGAAAUAUUAAGAGUUUUCUUAUUGAUUAAAAUUCUAAUAUUUUUUACAAGCCUUACUCAGGUUCCAGACCGAUUUAGACCGUGCAUGACUCAGUUGUGAGAAGUCAUAACGGAACACAAAAAGAACAAA